ACGGAACUCGAAUGCAUGAUCGUCGGAAUAGUACUGUGAGUGGACUUUUGUUUUUAAAUAAUGAUGCAUGCAUUUAUUUCUUAAAGUAAUGCUCUAGUUAUUUAUUAUAUUACAUUUUGAGCAUAUAAUUGUUUUCGGAUUCCUGAUUUUGAUUUAUCACGAGGAAUUACUUUCAUUGAUGAGUUUCAUGAAGUGAUUAUGAAUUAUUCCGGUUGUGAUUUUUGGAUAUUA